GAGUUUGAUCCUGGCUCAGGAUGAACGCUAGCUACAGGCUUAACACAUGCAAGUCGAGGGGCAGCAUGGUCUUAGCUUGCUAAGGCUGAUGGCGACCGGCGCACGGGUGAGUAACACGUAUCCAACCUGCCGUCUACUCUUGGCCAGCCUUCUGAAAGGAAGAUUAAUCCAGGAUGGGAUCAUGAGUUCACAUGUCCGCAUGAUUAAAGGUAUUUUCCGGUAGACGAUGGGGAUGCGUUCCAUUAGAUAGUAGGCGGGGUAACGGCCCACCUAGUCAACGAUGGAUAGGGGUUCUGAGAGGAAGGUCCCCCACAUUGGAACUGAGACACGGUCCAAACUCCUACGGGAGGCAGCAGUGAGGAAUAUUGGUCAAUGGGCGAUGGCCUGAACCAGCCAAGUAGCGUGAAGGAUGACUGCCCUAUGGGUUGUAAACUUCUUUUAUAAAGGAAUAAAGUCGGGUAUGCAUACCCGUUUGCAUGUACUUUAUGAAUAAGGAUCGGCUAACUCCGUGCCAGCCGCCGCGGUAAUAC
rnacentral:rRNA from 1 species